rnacentral:rRNA from 1 species
CACCGCGGUUAGACGAGAGGCCCUAGUUGAUAUUAUUACGGCGUAAAGGGUGGUUAAGGAAGAAAACAGCAAUAAAGCCAAAUGGCCCUUUGGCCGUCAUACGCUUCUAGGUGUCCGAAGCCCAACCCAACGAAAGUAGCUUUAACAAAACCCACCUGACCCCACGAAAGCUGAGAAA